rnacentral:rRNA from 1 species
GAUGAACGCUGGCGGCGUGCCUAAUACAUGCAAGUCGAGCGGACGGACGAGAAGCUUGCUUCUCUGAUGUUAGCGGCGGACGGGUGAGUAACACGUGGAUAACCUACCUAUAAGACUGGGAUAACUUCGGGAAACCGGAGCUAAUACCGGAUAAUAUUUUGAACCGCAUGGUUCAAAAGUAAAAGACGGUCUUGCUGUCACUUAUAGAUGGAUCCGCGCUGCAUUAGCUAGUUGGUAAGGUAACGGCUUACCAAGGCAACGAUGCAUAGCCGACCUGAGAGGGUGAUCGGCCACACUGGAACUGAGACACGGUCCAGACUCCUACGGGAGGCAGCAGUAGGGAAUCUUCCGCAAUGGGCGAAAGCCUGACGGAGCAACGCCGCGUGAGUGAUGAAGGUCUUCGGAUCGUAAAACUCUGUUAUUAGGGAAGAACAUAUGUGUAAGUAACUGUGCACAUCUUGACGGUACCUAAUCAGAAAGCCACGGCUAACUACG